rnacentral:misc_RNA from 1 species
GAUGAAGAACGUAGCGAAAUGCGAUAAGUAGUGUGAAUUGCAGAAUUCAGUGAAUCAUCGAAUGUUUGAACGCUCAUUGCGUCCCUUGGUAUCCCGAGGGGCAUGCCUGUUCGAGCGUCAUUUCACCACUCAAGCCUGGCUUGGUGUUGGGCGACGUCCUCUUUGGGGACGCGCCUCGAAACGCUCGGCGGCGUGGCACCGGCUUUAAGCGUAGCAGAAUCUUUCGCUUUGGAAGUCGGGGCCCCGUCUGCCGGAAGACCUGCUCGCAAGGUUGACCUCGGAUCAGGCAGGGAUACCCGCUGAACUUAAGCAUAUCAAUAAGCGGAGGA